CGAGCAAUGAGGACCAUGAUGAAAUGAGAAUAUAAACAUGAACAGCCAUACGGAUGGAGAAGUGUUUCUCCCUGAGAGUUUCACCAGAGCGACAAACUUAAGCACGGACGGAAGAGGCGUAGACGGAAAGCAAUGCCUUCCACCACAUGCGUUUUCGUGUCUGUCUGACUCAUCUGCAUCACGUCACCUCCAUUCCUCGUAGUUAGGGCCAUGAAUGGAAAUGGUACUCGCCGCUGGAUCAUCAAUUCCAUAUAUGGCUUUCGUUUGCUGGAUGUUUUAUAAUAUUGCCCAUGGAAUACUUGACAGAAUGAUUAAACCCUGUUUUCUCUUCAGACUUCAUUGAUUUCCACGAACUUGAGACAAGGCAAACCAAAUCAGAUAACUAUGCAAUAUUUACUAGGUUUCGAUUCUAUGCUCAUUCAUAAGAUUAAGCCAAUAGUCAACCAAUUAUUGCGAUAGUAAAACUAUUGAUUAUCAA